rnacentral:rRNA from 1 species
UACGUAGGGUGCGAGCGUUGUCCGGAAUUAUUGGGCGUAAAGAGCUCGUAGGCGGUCUGUCGCGUCGGAUGUGAAAACUCGGGGCUCAACCCCGAGCCUGCAUACGAUACGGGCAGACUUGAGUUCGGCAGGGGAGACUGGAAUUCCUGGUGGUAGCGGUGAAAUGCGCAGAUAUCAGGAGGAACACCGGUGGCGAAGGCGGGUCUCUGGGCCGAUACUGACGCUGAGGAGCGAAAGCGUGGGGAGCGAACAGG